AAAGUGAGAAGAUGCCAUGAUGUGGAAAGUACUACAAAGCAUUGCUUUGGUUUCAGGAUAUAAAACCUGAUUACUUUUUUUUUUUCCCUUUUCCCUCUCAAAUGUAAGCCUUCCUGUAGACCUUUCACAUGAUUUAGCACUAAUGCAGCGCUUCUCCUAGCAGCAGAUCAGCAUGUGUGGUGUUCAGUAGGUGUUUUCCUAAUGCAAAGGAAGUCAUGGCCCUGGGUAACAAUGUACUUUGUGUUUGCUCUGUGUUCUGCAGCUUGGAACUUUCUCCGAGUCUCUUUCUGAGAUGAUGAGCUGGAUGUCUGGAUUACAGUUGCACUUUCACUGGCAUUUUUAGGCAAGCUCAAGCUUACUGUUCUUAUGCUCCAAAUGGGCCAAAAGCCUUGGAGCUGUUACUAGCAUAGUGUGAAGUUUAAGCUGUUGUACUCUGCCUUUCCAAAAACCAUCGUAGUAGUUAUAGCACUCAGCUAACCAUGACUGGGGGUUCUUGGUAGACUCUUGACUGAUGCUUACCCUAUUUGUGUCUUAACUAUAGUUGUGAGGGAUUUCAGCAAAGCUGAGGAUUAGAUUGUGGUUGAUGUUCUCUGUGUGUGUGAUGAAUGAGAUGUCUCCAGUCACCUGUGAAAUCUGGUGAGGAGAGCAGAAAGUCAUGUUCCUCUGUUGCAGCUGGAAAAUGAAAAACAUGGCACAUGAAGUGCAAAACAGACUUUGAGGCUCACAAUUGAACCUGGGUCUUAAGGAGGUUAAAUCCAACCCUUCAUCACAAGUCCAGUCUUCUUCAUGUGAGAAUAACCCAGUGCAAGGACGUUGCUUCCAUAAAAUUGUGCCAGUGUAAAGUCCUGCACUGAUACACUCUGGUGCAGUGUGUACCUUUCACUGAGUGGGGUGCGGUGACAUACUGCUUGGUGCUAUUCUGUCAUGCUGUCUGUUGUCACCUCGUUGCUGAGAUGUAGUAUCUGAGUUUUUCCACAAGUUCUUGUCAUGCUGUUUUCUUCAGCUGCAGCCAAAGGUGUGGCCAGUUAGGAUGCCUUGGAAGGACCUUUGGCUUCUGUGAAGUCUGUUUUGUGAGGGUGUUGUAAAGUGUUAGAUUGUGAGUAAGUCUAUCUCCAAAGCUAGUAAAAUGUUGUAAAAAACCCAAGAAGUGUGGUAUUACAAUGGUAAUUACAAAACUCCUCCACUUUCCUACAGGUAUAACAUGUUGCGUAUUGCUCCACAGAAAACAACUAUGUCUGGAUCAAGUCUGCUCCGGGGUGGGAGGUGGGGAGCACUGGCUGAACAGCAGCUCCAUUUUCCUUUGCAGUCAUCGUUUCCUUUUAUGUGCAGGCACAACUGUAAAUGAGGUGAAUCCGUGAGUCAUAGUGAGCUGACCUGGGUUAAAAAUAACCCUCCAAGCAAGAGAAGCAGUAGCAUGAGGAAGUUAUGCUAAUCCUGUUUUUCCAUGUACACCCUCCAAGAUGUUUUCAACACUGUGGGGCAAGAGCAAGCAGCCAGGCACCAGGGCAAGAACUGGGAGAAAUCUGCUCAUAGGAACUCCCUUUAAUAGGUGAUGCUGCCAGGAAAAAGAUACGUAAAGUAAUAUUCUAACCUACAGUUUAGAAACCGGCAUUCUUUUAUUGAAAGGAAGUCUUGUCUCAAGCACAACAGAGAAAUGCUUGUUCAUAAAGAGCAGAACUUGCUAUUUAAAGGCUAAUGCAUAUUACUUUUAUUGCUAACAAUCUGCUUACCUUAUCUGGUUAUGACAAGUCUGCUCGUAAGUGUUCUAAGAUUUAAUUAAAUCAUGCAAGAAAUGGUAAUAGUAGUGUUAAGGUUCUUAAAUUUCACUCUGUUUCCAUCUAUUAGGGUCUUGUAUCUGCUGAAGUGAGUGUGACAGAAGGCAUUGACAGUACAUCAAUUCUGUGUUAAGAUCAGUACAAGGUGGGAUUGGUCAGGGUGGGUCUUCAUUUUGGUGUUUCUGAACUGCAGGUUUGAUUCUUUAGGGAUUUUUACCCUUUUGCUGUUACUUGCUUAUAGAGCCUCAGGUGAGCAGGCUGUGAGAGUGUAGUGGAACUAAGAGAAACUUUGGCAAUUGUCACUGAAAGAAUUUGGUUGAGUUUAAGGCUAAGUUCAUUGGGCUCUUGCAAACUGAUGACAUUAGGGAUAUGCUGAAGGCUUUUUUUUUUUUUGGUGUUACUGCGUGUGUUAUGUUUUUCUAGUAUCUUUCUUAGAAAUUAUGAUUUUUCUUCUAAUUUUUCCUUGCAGGAAAUGUGUUUUCUUUUUAUUUAGCCCAUGGUCUGAGGAAUCCUUGGAGAUCUCUGUGAAUUGAAACUCUUAAGCUGAAACUGGCAUGUAUAAGUUUUUUCAGGCUUUCUAAAUCUUAGUCUAAAAUGGUUGAGUAACACUCUGCAUUCGUUCCUGCACCCUAGCUGGGUUGAUGUAACUGUGGAACUAGAAAAUAACUUGGGUCAGGAUACAGGGCAGCGUUCAAGUAACUGUUUCCUUUUCUUGCGUGGAGUCCAGUGUUGCUUUGCACGUGGCUGUCUUGGUGGAAACAGCUCAAGAGUGGGGUUGACGCAGAUUAAACAAACUUCUCAAGUGCUCCUCAAACUGUUACAUUUCUGGCAGAAGUUAUCAGCAGUCAGAUCAGGGCUUGCUGCCUUCCUGAAGGUGCUGUGUGAUGCAUAUGGUGGUUGUAUGUUCAGAUUGAUGCUGCUGGUAACUUCAGGUGUUUCUGAUAUCCCAACAAUUUACCUUCUUAGAUUACAGCCAAAUAUCCUGGUGUUUAUAAAA